GAACAGGAACAGGAACAGGAACAGGGCAAUGCUGGGGAACACGUGGCUUCCACAAUUCCCCACGGAAAAGAUGGGGAAAAUCACCGGAAUGGGAGCGUGGAAUUGGCUCUAGGAUGAGCUGUACUUCCAGAAACAGCCCCGAGGGUGCUGUGGAAGCCGGAGCUCCUCGGGGAAUGGGAGAUGAACCAUUCCAGGGGCUCAGGCACUUAUUAAAACAUGUAAUAAAAAUGGGAAGAUUGGUCCUCAAACACUUCCACCUUGGCAAA